CCUACGGGUGGCUGCAGUGGGGGAUAUUGGACAAUGGGGGGAACCCUGAUCCAGCGACGCCGCGUGAGUGAAGAAGUAUUUCGGUAUGUAAAGCUCUGUCAGCAGGGAAGAAAGCAAUGACGGUACCUGACCUAGAAGCCCCGGCUAACUACGUGCCAGCAGCCGCGGUAAUACGGAGGGGGUAAGCGUUAUCCGGGAUUACUGGGUGUAAAGGUAGCGUAGACGGCUGUGCAAGUCUGGAGUGAAAGGCGGGGGCCCAACCCCCGGAGUGCUCUGGAAACUGUAUGGCUUGAGUGCAGGAGAGGUAAGCGGAAUGCCUAGUGUAGCGGUGAAAUGCGUAGAUAUUAGGAAGAACACCAGUGGCGAAGGCGGCUUACUGGACUGUAACUGACGUUGAGGCUCGAAAGCGUGGGGAGCAAACAGGAUUAGAUACCCCGGUAGUC
rnacentral:rRNA from 1 species